AACGAACGCUGGCGGCAUGCCUAACACAUGCAAGUCGAACGAGACCUUCGGGUCUAGUGGCGCACGGGUGCGUAACGCGUGGGAACCUGCCCUUAGGUUCGGAAUAACUCCCCGAAAGGGGUGCUAAUACCGGAUAAUGUCUUCGGACCAAAGAUUUAUCGCCUUUGGAUGGGCCCGCGUUAGAUUAGCUAGUUGGUAGGGUAAAAGCCUACCAAGGCGACGAUCCAUAGCUGGUCUGAGAGGAUGAUCAGCCACACUGGAACUGAGACACGGCCCAGACUCCUACGGGAGGCAGCAGUGGGGAAUAUUGGACACUGGGCGAAAGCCUGAUCCAGCAAUGCCGCGUGAGUGAUGAAGGCCUUAGGGUUGUAAAGCUCUUUUACCCGGGAUGAUAAUGACAGUACCGGGAGAAUAAGCUCCGGCUAACUCCGUG
rnacentral:rRNA from 1 species